rnacentral:rRNA from 1 species
GACGAACGCUGGCGGCGUGCCUAACACAUGCAAGUCGAGCGAGCCGUACUAACCGAUUUACUUCGGUAUUGAUGAUAGGAAAGCCACCGGCCUAAGGGUGGGUAACACGCCGGGAACCUGGCCCCUAUACCGGGAAACCACUUGGAAACAAGUGCUUAUACCCGAUGAAUAAGCCGGCCGCAUGAUCAGCAUUUUAAAGGGGGCAUGAGUCGUACCUCUGGGAUGGCCCCCCGGUGCAUUAGCUAGUUGGUAAGGUAAAGGCCUAACAAGGCGAUGAUGCAUAGCCGAGUCGAGAGACUGAUCGGCCACAUUGGGACUGAGACACGGCCCAAACUCCUACGGGAGGCAGCAGUAGGGAAUCUUCCACAAUGGACGCAAGUCUGAUGGAGCAACGCCGCGUGAGUGAAGAAGGUUUUAGGAUCGUAAAGCUCUGUUGUUGGUGAAGAAGGAUAGAGGUAGUAACUGGCCUUUAUUUGACGGUAAUCAACCAGAAAGUCACGGCUAACUACGUG